CUACGGGUGGCAGCAGUGGGGAAUAUUGCACAAUGGGGGGAACCCUGAUGCAGCAACGCCGCGUGGAGGAUGACACAUUUCGGUGCGUAAACUCCUUUUAUAUAAGAAGAUAAUGACGGUAUUAUAUGAAUAAGCACCGGCUAACUCCGUGCCAGCAGCCGCGGUAAUACGGGGGGUGCAAGCGUUACUCGGAAUCACUGGGCGUAAAGAGCAUGUAGGCUGGUUAGUAAGUUGGAAGUGAAAUCCUAUGGCUUAACCAUAGAACUGCUUCCAAAACUACUAACCUAGAAUAUGGGAGAGGUAGAUGGAAUUUCUGGUGUAGGGGUAAAAUCCGUAGAGAUCAGAAGGAAUACCGAUUGCGAAGGCGAUCUACUGGAACAUUAUUGACGCUCAGAUGCGAAAGCGUGGGGAGCAAACAGGAUUAGAUACCCUAGUAGUC
rnacentral:rRNA from 1 species